rnacentral:misc_RNA from 1 species
GAUGAAGAACGCAGCGAAAUGCGAUAAGUAAUGUGAAUUGCAGAAUUCAGUAAAUCAUCGAAUCUUUGAACGCACAUUGCGCCCGUCAGUAUUCUGGCGGGCAUGCCUGUUCGAGCGUCAUUACGCCCCUCAAGUCCCCUGUGGACUUGGUGUUGGGGAUCGGCGAGGCUGGUUUUCCAGCACAGCCGUCCCUUAAAUUAAUUGGCGGUCUCGCCGUGGCCCUCCUCUGCGCAGUAGUAAAACACUCGCAACAGGAGCCCGGCGCGGUCCACUGCCGUAAAACCCCCCAACUUUUUAUAGUUGACCUCGAAUCAGGUAGGACUACCCGCUGAACUUAAGCAUAUCAAUAAGCGGAGGA